GGUAGGACGACAAUCAUUAGUACAUGAAUUUCCCUUGGUGGCUGGAUUGGAGGCUUUGGCAGCGAUCUUCAUUUGCAGAUGCAGCAGCCUGCUGGGAGUACUCAUCUUCUCUUCUACAAUCACAGUAAUCGAUCGGAUUAGUGUUUUGAUUUACAGGAUUAUUAUCCUGCAAAAAUUGAAAUGAAAAGAGGAAAGGAAAAAGAAGUACUGACUGAUGAACUUUGGAAGUUUGGAGACUCUGGCAGAAGCCAUUUCGGAUGAGAAGAGCAACAACAUUAGGAAUAACGAGGGAAUCAAGUAAGAUGAAGCGCAUGCCUUCUUGAGAACCAUCUUGUCGAAAUGAACAGAAUAUGGGUCCUGGAUUUUCACCCUUUUUAUAGCUAAGUCCAUCGUUACUUCGCUUUAUAUAGAAUCAUGUUAUGUCAAUAACACAUGCUAGGAUGUUCACUAGCUCAAGGGAUCAUUUCAAGAUCUUUGUAUUUUUGCCUCUUUUAUUUUCCAGUUCAUUCAAACACUCAAGCUCUUGGAAAAUCAACGCACAUAAUUUGGUUUCCCAUCUGAUAUAUACAACCCGCGCAAAGAUGCUUUGUUUCAACAACAUGAAAUUCUGAAAUGGCUGCUCAUAGGGCAUGUUGCUUAGCCCCCAUGCAUCUUCAUCGUUUGGCAAGUCAUGAUCUUCAAUUGGCCAAUUGCAUUUACGGAGAUGGAGAUGGUAUGAGAAGAGAUCAGCCUUGUCACCCACUACCACGUCGUAGUGCAUGAUUAGCCACAAAUACACAAAAAAUUGGGUUAGGUAACAAACACCUUUCCCUAUAUUUGGACAAUUUGGUUUGGGACUACCCCCCACCCACCCCAACCUUCAAAUCCUGGUGCCGCCAUGAAUCCUGGUCAAUACAAUCGGCUUUUGAGAGAGGAUGUGUAUCAAUGAUGAUCUCUAUUGUAUCAAGCUCAGGCUGUUGAGAGAAGUUUUGAGGAUAGUUUGUGAUGUACAAUGUCUUGGGGAAUUCUUCUCAUCUGUUUUGUUGCCGGAUUUUC
rnacentral:lncRNA from 1 species